rnacentral:lncRNA from 1 species
CUAAACAAGGUAAUACAAUGCUACAGAAAAUAUGGCAAUUUCAAACACUCCACCAAGAGCCAAUCAGAAAGAUAGUUCACUAAACAAGGUAAUAUAACGCAUGCAUUAGAUGGAGCCAGAAUACUCUCACAAGUUAAACAACAACAGGUUUUAAGCCUAGUUCACAAGCACAAUGCUGUAACUAAGUUCCCAAUAACCAGAAGAUUGACUUGGGUAGAUCAUAGGAUUGCUAACAUUAUACAUAAUAUUCAUAAGUAGAGUAGACAGUUAAAACACGACUCAUACAUAAUACAUUACUUGUUCUCGGGCUUUGUCUCAUGACCAGAAGACGGGACUCUGAGGGUGAGACAUUCCCUCCUGAACUCCUUAGCCUCAUCAGUAUCCUUAUCUGGGCAGUCAUCAGUCAAGUGAGCACCACGCGCGCCACAGUUAUAGCAACAUAUCACAUAAACAAAUUUUUUUUGUCCACUCCCAGGGACAUAAGAACCCCAUGCACAUCCCUCAGGUAAAGAUUCUGGUAGUUCCACUUUUCGAAAGGCUUUACUGAGACUAGGAUCUCUCUCUUUGCAAACAGAGAAAAAAAAGGGUAUUGAAUGAGAGAUAUAGAAAAGUCAUGAUAACGAAAUGUAUGUUUUAUGGGAGAUGAUGAUGACUCAAUGAGGAGCAAAUCAGAAACAUCAGAGUUAACAAGUGUGUGUGUGUGUGUGGGCAACAUGAUGCUAAGCAACCUAGUGGUGUUGGGGAUCAUUGAAGUUAGAAACUUAAUACACAUGUAUGAUACAGGGAACAUAAUUAUCUUUUAACCAGUGGCAGAUCCAGAAUGUAAAUUUUGUCUAGGCUAACUAGAGAAUUUUUGUGUAGGCUCAAGCCCAAGCCUUCUACAUAGAUCCACCCUGCUCCUAACUCUGAAUAAUCAUACAGCAAAAUGAGCAAACUUAAUCAAUAUCAUAUUCUUUUUACUAAUUUAUGUUCUUCAAUUCAUUCAUUAAUUCAAAUGCAAUGCAAUGCUGCAAACAAAUAAAGCACAAUCGUAUUGAUUCCUCGUAGAAAACACAAACACAGAGGCGUAAACACCUUGCAGAUAAUUCGAUGAGCUACAUGGUCAAAAAAAUUACCAAUAUGAAAAGUAAAGAAAUAAAAUCAAGAGCAUACUCGCAAAAUAGGCCGUCCAAGCCUUUUCGGCCCGUUCUUCUGGCGUGAGUAAUAGAUCUUCGGGAGUCCAACCUAGUUCGGCUAAUGAAGAUUCUAGGUCGGAGCCGUUUUCUUGAUCGGAGCCGUUCGUCUUCGACUUCUUGGCGGGGGAUGAGGGGUCCAAGUCCGAUGGUAAGGAUGUGGGGUUCGGCCUCUUCGGUUGGUUCAUUUCCGGUGGUGAGGAUUUGGGUUUCAGUUCCGGUGGGGAGGAUUUGGGGUCUUCGUUUAGGUUUGAGGUUGUGGCGUGUCCUGAUUAAUACUCGGUCUGUGAACCAGAAAUCAAAUAUGGGAUUUGGGCCAAUUUUUUCCUUCUUUUAAUAGAAGGGCCGACCUUCUUCUUUUCUUUUAAUAGAGACAAGGAAAGUGAAGCUGAAUUGGUAAGUGUUAUGUGGUUGUUUUGUUGCAGAACAAGAACAAUGGAGAAGGAUGCAAUCGCUUUGAUGGAUCAUUUGGGGCGGACGUAGCCGUGAGACUUUGGGGUGAUGUCGAAUCAGGGUUUGGAGCUUCGGCUGUCAUGGCUGGCUUCAAGCAGCUCAAAUGGAGACUCAGACUCGGUAAAGGAAGAGAAUAGUACGGAGAAAGAAAAUGAAGAAAAGAAAAAUCAUUUAACAAAAGACAUGUUAGAAAAAAUAACAGGUAGGAAAAACUCUUAAAAAAAUAAAAAAUAAAAGACCAAAACACAAAUAAUUUAUGCCAGUUGACAUGCUCCAUAACGGAAUUAACGCAGGUAAACACUUUUCUUUAGUCGAGAUAAGAACGUUAGAUAUUGUUUUUAAGUUUUUCAAAGUUAAGAUACCAAAGUUUUGUUUAUAUAAAACAUGAGAUACUGUUUGAACAAUUUUCCCUCUUUAUAUUUCAAUCUAGUUAGUCUGGCCUUCAUACGUGAGUUCUCUUACACAUUGCUUUUGGACCCAAUUAAUUCCUAAGCUUUCUGUUUUUUUCCUUUCAUGAAGAGUGAAGAUGAAUUCCAGUCUUGCAUAAGCUUGAAGAAGGAUAAGAAUUGACGAAGUUAACAAACUAACAAUCCACGUAGCUUUUAUUUAGAAUAUUGUACGUAAACGUGUUGUUGGCUUAUUGGUUGGGACACCAUCUCAGCCUUAUUCCGGGUACACCUAAUUCCUUAAAUUAAACAACUUGUUGAUACCCAAAAUUCCACGAGUUCGUUUCUUUAAGUUGACAUAUGCCCACAGCCUUAUUGGGCCUUCAUCCAAGCUUAAUAUGGUCGAAGAGACUUCCUUGAAAAAUGACAAACUCAAGUUCUGCCAUGCAAACAUAACACGUAGACCUAAGCUACAUCCAUUGGGGCUUACAGAGGGGAUGUGGUGUGGAAGGCAACAUGAUGCUAAGCAACCUAGUGGUGUUGGGGAUCAUUGAAGUUAGAAAAUUAAUACACAUGUAUGAUACAUGGCACAUAAUUAUCUUUUAACUAGUGGCAGAUCCAGAAUGUAAAUUGUCUAACUCUGAAUAAUCAUACAGCAAAAUAAGCAAACUUAAUCAAUAUCAUAUUCUUUUCACUAUUUUCUGUUCUUCAAUUCAUUCAUUGAUUCAAAUGCAAUGCAAUGCAGUGCUGCAAACAAAUAAAGCACAAUCGUAUUGAUUCCUCGUAGAAAACACAAAUACAGAGGCUACAACAAGCUCUGAGAGGUAUUCCAAAGAAUGCCUCUGAGUAAGUCCCUGAAGAUUAUAAGAGUUGGGACAUGAAAAGGUACUCACUAACAUCUUGCUUGUUCUCAAUAAUCCCAGUAACAACAUUUAGAUUCUCAAAGAAGAUAUAAAAUGUGCCAACCAGUUGAAGAAAGUGCCUUCUACAAAUCUUGCUGAAACUAUGCCAUUCCGCAAGGUCGAUGAAUUUGAGUGAGCAUGCAGCACCCUCGCCCUAGUUAAGGCAAGACAUCUUAUAAACAUCUUAGAAUUCCCAGUCCAUAGAUUCCUCCACGAACUCGUUGUCGACAAAUUUUCGUGCGGCAAGACGUUCAUAGUCAUGUUUAGAAUCAUGAGGAAGCCGCAAGUUUUUAAUACCAUCAAGGCAUCUUGUUUUUAAUUCUUCAUCCAGUUCGAGACCAAAAUGGCCGGAGCGAUCCCGACCCAGAUUAAUAUGCCAACAAUGUCGCAGAUCAAGUGUCUCAAGCAGCGGACAGCCAUCAAGAAUGGCGCGCAAGUCCUUGCUAGUGAGCUUAUUUCCGAAAAGCUGAAGGUGGUGUAAACCAUGCAUUGUUUCUGCUACAGCAUGUGCAUCGCCAUCCCACCCAAGAAAAAACCAUUUAGUGUUGUACUUGUUCAAUUUCAAUGAUUUCAAACGAGGGCAACAACGGCCAAUCACUUCAACAUUGGCAUGUCGUGUGUGUUCGAAGGGAGGAAUAUCGAGUCUGUAGUUGCAGUGUGAAAGUUCAAGUUCCUCCAACAGCGGCAGCUUUGGAGCUGCUUCAAUCAGUCCAUUAGUUGUUAUGUUAGACAACACAAAACAGAGCCGUUUGAUUCCCCUACAACUAUAUAGAAAAAAGUUAUGAAUGAACAUGUUAGCAGGUAUCCAAAAUCCAAAUCUCGAGAUAAUUAAACAUUCAUAGAUCCAAAAUUCAACUUGUAGAAAAUUACAAUACCUGUCAGUGAUAUGCUUAAGGAGAUCGUCGGAGCCGAAGUUGUGAACACUGAUCCCCACGAGGUUGCCACAGCUAAGAUCAACGGCUUUCCUACACAACAUGUCCAUCUGGUACCGCGAGGAGGACGACUUGCCAUAAAGCGAAUCGUCGCGCAUGUCGAUGGUGAGCCAGUUUCUAGGGUCCAUGCAGAUUCUGCGCCAUGUCGUACACACGUACACAGCGGUCACCAGGAUCUCGAUGGCUCCCAGCCGUGACAGUAUAGAAGCUGUGAUUUCUUCAGGGAGGUCGAUCCAGUCUUGUCGCUGGGUUUUGUUUGAGGGUUCGGCCAUUGUUAUCCAAGGUGUUGGAGGCUAGGUUUUAAUUUAUAGUUGGUAUGGUCUUUAAUUUAUUGGGCCAGCAGUGAGCAGCCCAUCUUAGAACAAGAACUGCGUCCUUCAACGUCUGAAGAACGCCAGCUCCAUGAAUCGCACUUUUUCUUAAUCACGGAAGUUAAACCAAUCUGUAAUUUGGAAUCAAACAAGCUAACAUUACUGGUAAACUGGAGAUGCAGAAGCACAAUAUCUUUGCCACUAGAAACCUUUCCCUAACAAGUAACAACACACACAUGCACACAAUGGCAGAUUGGCAACAAUACUACCUUAUUAGCAGCUGAUCAGAAAUAGAACUAUACUGCAGAGAAAUUCUAGACCAUUGGGAUAUGGAUGACGGCUACAACAUUUGAUUUGACCUUCAACUCAAACUCAAUUUCAUGGUGACCAUUCCAGGGGGAACAUUUUAUCAAUUGCUCAUCUACCAUGAACAAAUGGUCAAAUUAUCUGCAUCAUACUCAUAAUCAUCAGUUGAUCACCAUUAGGAAGCCGAAGUAUUUUAAUUCGUUCAACCAAUCAUCAGUGAAUGUGGCCUUUGCCGAUCCAUCAGUUCUCAAUGAUCGAUUAAUAAUCUCACAACUGAGUUUAAUUAUAUGUCUUUGGCUUUGAUCAAACAUAUGUAUAGUGUCACAUUGUGUAAUAUCAAACAUACAUGUUUUGCCGUUUGAGAGGCUACUGAAAAUAUGACAAUUUUAAACACUCUACAUUAAAAAUUUAUCAGAAAGAAAGAUCACUAAACAAGGUAAUACAAUGCUACAGAAAAUAUGGCAAUUUCAAACACUCCACCAAGAGCCAAUCAGAAAGAUAGUUCACUAAACAAGGUAAUACAACGCAUGCAUUAGAUAGACAUAAUACUCUCACAAGUUAAACAACCAUAGGUUUUUAGCCUAGUUCACAAGCACAAUACUGUAACUAAGUUCCCAAUAACCAGAAGAUUGACUUGGGUAGAUCAUAGGAUUGCUAACAUUAUACAUAAUAUUCAUAUAGGGAAAUAAGUAGAGUAGACAGUUAAAACACGACUCAUACAUAAUACAUUACUUGUUCUCGGGCUUUGUCUCAUGACCAGAAGACGG